GUUUGCUUGGAUUUCUAUUUUCUACUUAUGAUGUCUCUUCAUCAAUAAUAAUUCGUGAUGAUUACAUCAUGUUAGCAGAUUGCUGUAAUGACAAAAUACACUCCGUACUUAACCCUGAUCUGUAAAAAUUAUGAAAAACAAGAAAGAGAGAGAGAGAGAGAGAGAAGGGGAUGAGGAGGGAUUCAAUUGCUGACUAAAGAUUGAAUCACAAAGAGGGUGACAAUGUGUCAAAAGCACACACUGCCAGGUUCAAAUCAUGGAAAGCCAAAUGAGAGUUUUGACCAUAUGUCAAAGCCACAUUUCAUGUGGAAAAAAUCCCCAAUCCCACAUGAGCAGCAACCUACAAGUUGCUAAAAAUCUACCCUUUUUUCUUUUUUUUUUUCAAAUAGACAGAAUCACUGAUCCAACUUUUUUUAUUUUUUUGGUUAUCCUAAAAAAGGCCUAAACAGCAAGUUGCUUUUGAUGGGUGG
rnacentral:misc_RNA from 1 species